rnacentral:rRNA from 1 species
ACUCCUACGGGAGGCAGCAGUGGGGAAUAUUGCACAAUGGAGGGAACUCUGAUGCAGCAACGCCGCGUGGAGGAUGACGCAUUUCGGUAUGUAAACUCCUUUUAUAUGGGAAGAUAAUGACGGUACCAUAUGAAUAAGCACCGGCUAACUCCGUGCCAGCAGCCGCGGUAAUACGGAGGGUGCAAGCGUUACUCGGAAUCACUGGGCGUAAAGCGCAUGCAGGCGGUCUAAUAAGUUGGAAGUGAAAGCCUAUGGCUCAACCAUAGAACUGCUUCCAAAACUGUUAGACUAGAGUCUGGGAGGGGAAGAUGGAAUUAGUAGUGUAGGGGUAAAAUCCGUAGAGAUUACUAGGAAUACCAAAAGCGAAGGCGAUCUUCUGGAACAGUACUGACGCUGAGAUGCGAAAGCGUGGGGAGCAAACAGGAUUAGAUACCCUGGUAGUCCACGCAGUAAACGAUGAAUGUUAGUCGUUGGUGUCCUAGAGACAUCAGUGAUGCAGUUAACACAUUAAACAUUCCGCCUGGGGAGUACGGUCGCAAGAUUAAAACUCAAAGGAAUAGACGGGGACCCGCACAAGUGGUGGAGCAUGUGGUUUAAUUCGAAGAUACGCGAAGAACCUUACCUAGCCUUGACAUACUAAAGAAUUCACCAGAGAUGGAGAAGUGCCUUCGGGAGCUUUAAUACAGGUGCUGCACGGCUGUCGUCAGCUCGUGUCGUGAGAUGUUGGGUUAAGUCCCGCAACGAGCGCAACCCUCGUCACUAGUUACUAACGAUUCGGUCGAGGACUCUAGUGAGACUGCCUUCGUAAGGAGGAGGAAGGUGAGGACGACGUCACGUCAUCAUGGGCUCUUACGGCUAGGGCAACACACGUGCUACAAUGGUUAGGACAAUGAGAGGCGAUACCGCGAGGUGGAGCA